rnacentral:misc_RNA from 1 species
UGUUGGGGGUAUCCAGGACUCG